CAGCAGCCGCGGUAACACGGAGGAUCCAAGCGUUAUCCGGAAUCAUUGGGUUUAAAGGGUCCGUAGGCGGUCUUGUAAGUCAGUGGUGAAAGCCCAUCGCUCAACGGUGGAACGGCCAUUGAUACUGCAGGACUUGAAUUAUUGGGAAGUAACUAGAAUAUGUAGUGUAGCGGUGAAAUGCUUAGAGAUUACAUGGAAUACCAAUUGCGAAGGCAGGUUACUACCAAUUGAUUGACGCUGAUGGACGAAAGCGUGGGUAGCGAACAGGAUUAGAUACCCCCGUAGUCCCUGUCUCUUAUAC
rnacentral:rRNA from 1 species